rnacentral:lncRNA from 1 species
GUUUAAAAUUGGUCUCCGGAUUCAAGGUCCAAAGCUCCUCCAGGGGCCAGACCCCACCCUUCCUUCCCUCUUCAUUGAUCUUUCCUCUCUUUCUUUAACUUACUGUUGGCCAAUUGUUCAUACACCAAAGGCUGGUUUUCUUUUAUACAACAGCAGGCUGCCUAACUGAAAAGCACAAUUGUUGGGAACAAAUCUGUCUUUAUUGUGCUCUACUAGAUUGUCAAGCAUGAAAAAGAAAGUGGAGGAAAUGAGCUAAGGACCAGCUGCACACCCAACUUCCACCCAGGAAUCUCCAGGUCUAGGACUCAGGGAGAUGAAUCACCUUGGAGGUCUCCCCACCAGCAGCUCCUCAGUCGAGGCUUGAUGCUGAAUGUACUCUUCAGACCUUAGACCAUACAGGCCUCUCAGAAAAAGAGAGAGUCCAGCAUCCUGCUAUUCACUUGGAGCCCAGAGGCUAUGUGGGGAGAUUGGGUCCAGCUUUUCUGAACAUCUCCAUUAGGGCACCCCCAGAGAGACAGUGACUCUCAGCUGCUAUGAUAUUAACCCCAGGGACAUCGAGAAGGCUAUCUCCCUAGUUGUCAUCUGCAAAGGAGGCAGUUUCCAUUUUCUAGGUAGAAGCUA